AUUCCUUAUUUCAGCCUGGAGACAGCAUCUCAGUUGACUGUCAGCUGACAGGCCUCGUAAACAUGAUGAUGGAGGUGACCUUGAGCAUUGCUACCAGCACACAGGAACCUCUCCUUUUUCUGUGGUGGAAAAGAGAUGAUCAAAGCUGCUUGAACAACAAAACAAAAAGGCAUUGCUUGGAUAUGAACAGCAAAAAAAUAUGGGUAAUGUUUCCUGGCUGUGGACCCAAAUGAAUGAAUCUGUUUUAUUUA